rnacentral:rRNA from 1 species
GGGGSGWKMAAGCGUUGUUCGGAUUUACUGGGCGUAAAGGGCGCGUAGGCGGCCAGCACAAGUCAGUUGUGAAAUCUCCGAGCUUAACUCGGAAAGGUCAACUGAUACUGUGCGGCUAGAGUGCGGAAGGGGCAACUGGAAUUCUUGGUGUAGCGGUGAAAUGCGUAGAUAUCAAGAGGAACACCUGCGGCGAAGGCGGGUUGCUGGGCCGACACUGACGCUGAGGCGCGAAAGCCAGGGGAGCGAACGGGAUUAGAUACCCCGGUAGUCCUGGCCUUAAACGAUGAAUGCUUGGUGUCUGGGGUUAUAUAGUCCCCGGGUGCCGUCGCUAACGCUUUAAGCAUUCCGCCUGGGGAGUACGGUCGCAAGACUG